GAUGGGACUGCGUCCGAUUAGGUAGUUGGUGAGGUAACGGCCCACCGAGCCCAUUAUCGGUACGGGCUAUGAAAGUAGCAGCCCGGAGACGGGUACUGAGACAAGGACCCGAGCCCUACGGGGUGCAGCAGGCGCGAAAUUUCCGCAAUGCGCGAAAGCGUGACGGGGGUAAUCCGAGUGGUACUCUAACGAGUAUCUUUUGGCCAGUCUGAAUAACUGGCAGAAUAAGUGGUGGGUAAAUCCUGUGCCAGCCGCCGCGGUAAUACAGGUAGCACGAGUGGUGUCCACGAAUACUGAGUCUAAAGCGCCCGUAGCCGGCUUUCCACGUCCUCUGUGAAAUCUCACGGCCUAACCGUGAGGCUUGCAGGGGAUACGAGGAGGCUUGGGAGUGGGGGAGGUCAGAGGUACUGCGGGGGGAGGAGUAAAAUCCUGUAAUCCUCGUAGGACCCUCGGUGGCGAAAGCGUCUGACCAAAACACAUCCGACGGUGAGGGACGAAGGCUAGGGGAGCGAACCGGAUUAGAUACCCGGGUAGUCCUAUGCAGUAAAUCAUGCAGGCUAGGCGUUGCAGUCCUUUUGAGGGGCUGCAGUGCCGUAGGGAAGCCGUUUAGUCUGCCACUUGGGGAGUACGGUCGCAAGGCUGAAACUUAAAGGAAUUGGCGGGGGAGCAC
rnacentral:rRNA from 1 species